CUUUCAUAUUUGUGUCAGAUUAGCACUGCUGAAGCCAGAGAAUGAGGAAAAUAAGCAGAGCCUGGAUACUUCUUUCCUUGGAUGGGUUUCCUAAUUCAUGCUAGCAGUUUAAAUGCUAUUUUUAGAGAGGAAAAUUGAGAAGAGAAGGGAGAGGAUACACAUGAGGCAACCAUAAGAACGUAAGAAAACCCCUGCUGGAACAAUCCAAUGGCCCAUCUAGUCCAGCAUCCCGUUUUCACAGUGGCCAACCAGAUGCCUGUGGGAAGCCCGUAAGCAGGACCUGAGCAAAACAGCAUUCUUUGUUUGUGAUUCUUCAGCUGCUAGUAUUUAGAGACUGGACCUUGGAGGAAGUUACUCGCCCAUUCUCAUCUAAUACCUCAAUGAUUGUUUUAAUCACUCUCGUUUUCUUUGAGUCUGAAGAUGAAGCAAACAGAACAAAGAGCACGCAGUUGAAAAUGUACAUGUCAAAUAUUCUUUGCAUAAGACUCUUCCUCUAAAACUGUCAUCUGAGCAUCUUGCUGGUGUAACAUUUAGUGCUUAUUCAAUGGCUUUUUGGACGAUUUCUUCAGUGAGUACAAAUGAAAGUGUUAUAUUGAAAUGUAUCUUUCCCCUGAUAUACACAUUCUUGUACACAUGUUUUGGUUGGCAAAUUGCAUUGCGAAAAUGGCAGAAAUGCAAAUGUUGAAAGAUAGCUGCAUUUGGGUUCACAUGCGAGUUUGGAAAGUGCAAUUCAGGUGGAAUCACAUUAAAAAUACUUAAAAAUAUAAUAGUUUUGUAAGCCAUCAUGCAAGGGCGUGGGGUGCAGCAGCAGGAUGGCAGGCAGGUGAGGCGUGGGAGUGAGGGAAGCAAGGAUGGUGGGUGGGUAAGCACUUGAGUGGGCAAGUGGGCGAGUGUCAGGUAGGCAGGUGAGCAAGCGAGUGAGCAUUGGGGCGGGCAGGUAGCAGUGACAAUGUGGGAGGCACGUAAGCAGUCAAAGCAGGGUGGCAGUGGUAGCCUGGGUAGGCAGGAGGCUAGCAAACUUCCUAAACGGGUGGCAGCGAGUGCCUGGGGGCCAUUUGGGGAGUUGCCUGGGAUGGUG